GGUGGCUCAGUGGUAAAGUACUUGCCUUGCAAGCAUGGGGCCCUGGGUUCGAUUCCUCAGCACCA
rnacentral:tRNA from 1 species